GCAAGUUCUUCGUCUUCUCUCUUUGUAUUGCAGCAGAGAUAAUUAUAAUAUUCUACGAAAUUUCCUGUAUCCCAUCAGAAGCAACACGCUGCAUUGCAGAAACCUUUUUGUCUUCUACUACGUCGUCGACGUUCAUCCAUAAUGUUUCCAAGUUUUUGGAGCAUUUCUUCUUCGGUGAAAAUCCGAUCUGGGGAGCUCAAGAAAGCACUUCUUCUGAUGGGAGGAGACCACAAUCCACUUUGCUCAUAAUCAAAAUUAAAUUCGCUUGCAUCAAAGAAUUUAUUGAGAAGUCGAUCCGAUACAGACUUAGACACCAGCUGAAUCUUUUGAGGAGAGGAUGAAGAGAGUUCUUCAGAGGAAGACAUUUUCAUAACUCGAGAAAGAAAAACGAG
rnacentral:misc_RNA from 1 species